CCCCCCCCCCCUCAUUUCUUUGCAGGUAUGCCUAUGUAACAUCCUCUUGAAGAAACAAACAUUUCGCCUAAACUAAAAACAGUGUCGUCAAAGAGUCACUGAAUCAAAGCAAGUAGAAACAAAAAGAAAAACGAUGUUGCUUCUUCGAUCCUCGAUUCGACGAGCGAGAAAUCUAAAGGCCUUGAAGCCUUCGAUCUUUGCUUUAAGAAGCUCUUAUUGUUUCUCUACUGGUGCAGCUGAGCCUUCUUCAAGCCUACCUAGCCCUCCGAGAGUCCCCAAUCUUAUUGGAGGAAAAUUCGUUGAUUCGCAAUCAUCUUCAACCAUUGAUGUGAUAAAUCCUGCAACACAAGAAGCCGUGUCACCGGUUCCUUUGACUACGAACGAAGAGUUCAGAGCUGCAGUCUCUGCAGCAAAGCAGGCUUUUCCGGCGUGGCGUAACACGCCAAUUACGACUCGUCAGCGUGUCAUGCUCAAGCUCCAAGAGCUUAUUCGUAGAGACAUUGAUAAGCUUGCGAUGAAUAUAACUACUGAACAGGGGAAGACCUUGAAGGAUGCUCAUGGAGAUGUGUUCCGUGGGCUAGAGGUGGUGGAACAUGCUUGUGGAAUGGCGACUUUGCAGAUGGGUGAGUAUGUCCCUAAUGUGUCAAAUGGAAUUGAUACCUUUAGCAUCAGAGAGCCACUUGGUGUAUGUGCUGGGAUUUGCCCUUUCAACUUUCCAGCAAUGAUUCCCUUAUGGAUGUUCCCUGUUGCCGUAACAUGCGGUAACACCUUUAUAUUGAAGCCAUCGGAGAAAGAUCCUGGUGCUUCUAUAAUACUUGCUGAGUUAGCGAGAAGGAGAGAUAGAGGGGAGAUUGAAAGGUUAUCUCGGUGAUAAUGCCGUGGAUGAUGAACUUUAGAUACUGUUGAAUUCUACCAUCAGUUCGAAACAAAAAUCUCAACAUUCGUAAUAGGCUGCUUUGCAGGUGCUGCUCUACUUCUGCCGUGGGUCUCCUUUCUUUCUAAGGCGGCAGAGACAAGUGAAUUGCCAAGAAGGUUUCAAGUAAUUCAAACGGCAGCCUAUCUUGAAAGUCCUACAACUCUUAAACUAAUGCUAAUGAACACAGGCUCCCACUUCAGCCCACAGCAAGAACAAGUCUUUUAGGUCCAUGCAGUGGUUGGAAAUAAACAUUUCAUUACCGUGCAAAGUAACGCCACAGACACACUUAUACCCGCCCUUAUUAACCAAAGAAAUUGUGCAAUUUUCCUAACCCCCAAGCAUUGCAGCACUACAAUUUCAACUUCCUUCAUGGGAAAGCUUCCUGUUCCAUUUCUUCCUUUUGUUUUCUCAACUUUCUUCACACUAAUAAUCCCUUCUGCGAGUGGAUUAUCUUUCAACUUCACCAGCUUCAUUGUUGGCGACCGAAACAUUUCAUACGAGCAGGACGCAUAUCCCGCAGAAGGAGCUGUUCAGCUCACCAAAAAUCUAAGAAAUGCUAAUAUGAGUUUAAUUUUCGGUCGAGCCACGUAUUACAAACCGAUGCAGCUUUGGGACAAGGCCUCAGGGAAUCUUACAGACUUCACCACCCAUUUCUCUUUUUCCAUCGAUUCGCAAGGUCGACGUGCAUACGGAGAUGGAUUGGCUUUCUUUCUUGCGCCAGAAGGAUCAAAGCUUCCGCCUAAUCUCUCUCAAGGUCGAAGUCUAGGUCUUACAAGGAAUGAUCAGCAACUAAACACAACGGAUAAUCAUUUUGUUGCUGUGGAGUUCGAUAUCUAUAAAAAUUAUUUUGAUCCACCAGGCGAGCAUGUAGGUAUUGACAUCAACUCUAUGCAAUCUGUAAAUAAUAUUACUUGGCUGUGUAAUAUUAGUGGAGGGAUAAAAACUGACGCUUGGAUUAGUUAUAAUUCAAGUACACAUAAUCUGAGUGUCGCCUUCACCGGUUAUAGAAAUAACACUGUAGAAAUGCAAUUCCUUAGUCAAAUAGUUAGCUUGAGGGAUUACCUACCAGAAA